UACGAAGGGGGCUAGCGUUGUUCGGAAUCACUGGGCGUAAAGCGCACGUAGGCGGAUCUUUAAGUCAGGGGUGAAAUCCCGAGGCUCAACCUCGGAACUGCCUUUGAUACUGGGGAUCUCGAGUCCGGAAGAGGUGAGUGGAAUUCCUAGUGUAGAGGUGAAAUUCGUAGAUAUUAGGAAGAACACCAGUGGCGAAGGCGGCUCACUGGUCCGGUACUGACGCUGAGGUGCGAAAGCGUGGGGAGCAAACAGG
rnacentral:rRNA from 1 species